rnacentral:rRNA from 1 species
UACGUAGGGUGCAAGCGUUAAUCGGAAUUACUGGGCGUAAAGCGUGCGCAGGCGGUUAUGUAAGACAGGUGUGAAAUCCCCGGGCUUAACCUGGGAACUGCAUUUGUGACUGCAUAGCUAGAGUACGGUAGAGGGGGAUGGAAUUCCGCGUGUAGCAGUGAAAUGCGUAGAUAUGCGGAGGAACACCGAUGGCGAAGGCAAUCCCCUGGACCUGUACUGACGCUCAUGCACGAAAGCGUGGGGAGCAAGCAGG